rnacentral:misc_RNA from 1 species
UUUCCGUAGGUGAGCCUGCGGAAGGAUCAUUCAUAAUAAAGUGUUUUAUGGCACUUUUUAAAAAUCCAUAUCCACCUUGUGUGCAAUGUUAGAUCUCGUCAAUCUUGGCGAGGUUUUUAUACAUCAACUCAUUCUUUAACUAAUUUGUCUGAAAAAUAUUAUGAAUACUUAAUUCAAAAUACAACUUUCAACAACGGAUCUCUUGGCUCUC